CUAGCAGACCGAAGCUCUAGACAGGACUCGGCAUGAGUGAGACUCGAACCAUCGCCCGUCUGUACUUCAAGGUGCCAGGGGCCGGCGACAAGUGCUCUGCGCCACCUGCCAGGCCGUGGAAUUAGUGCAAAUGUGUUUGUUUUCAUCUUAAACCAUUGUCAGUGACGUCAUUCUACGCGACUACCACAGGUGAAGGUGCUGCCCACCCAUGAUGCCAGCAAGGUGCGUGCAAGUGGAUCCGGCCUUAAAACCACUGGAGUGCCCAGCUCUCUGCCAGUGAAGUUCAACAUUGAUGGCAAAGAUGCAGGUGAGGGACUGCUGGCAGUGCAGAUCACUGUGAGCGCAUGUGAUCUGCUAUUCCUCUUUGAAUAGUACGCUGGUUGCCCCCGGAGUUCGAGUCUCCGGGAGGAAAUCCUGGUGGUUUGAGGCCCCAGGCUUGUGUUGGGUACGGUCCAUCACAAGGACAUUGGCUCGAGCGCGCUGUU